rnacentral:rRNA from 1 species
UGCGGGGGGGGCAAGCGUUGUUCGGAAUUACUGGGCGUAAAGGGUUUGUAGGUGGCCCGCUAAGUCACACGUGAAAUCCCUCAGCUUAACUGGGGAACUGCGUGUGAGACUGGCAGGCUCGAGGGCAGGAGAGGAACGCGGAAUUCCAGGUGUAGCGGUGAAAUGCGUAGAUAUCUGGAGGAACACCGGUGGCGAAGGCGGCAUCCUGGACCAACACUGACACUGAGGAGCGAAAGCCAGGGGAGCAAACGGG